rnacentral:rRNA from 1 species
GAUGAACGCUGGCGGCGUGCCUAAUACAUGCAAGUCGAGCGAACGGACGAUAAGCUUGCUUCUCUGAUGUUAGCGGCGGACGGGUGAGUAACACGUGUAUAACCUACCUAUAAUACUGGGAUAACUUCGGGAAACCGGAGCUAAUACCGUAUGAUAUUUUGAACCGCAUGGUUCAAAAGUGAAAGACGGUCUUGCUGUCACUUAUAGAUGGAUCCGCGCUGCAUUAGCUAGUUGGUAAGGUAACGGCUUACCAAGGCAACGAUGCAUAGCCGACCUGAGAGGGUGAUCGGCCACACUGGAACUGAGACACGGUCCAGAGUACUACGGGAGGCAGCAGUAGGGAAUCUUACGCAAUGGGCGAAAGCCUGACGGAGCAACGCCGCGUGAGUGAUGAAGGUCUUCGGAUCGUAAAACUCUGUUAUUAGGGAAGAACAUAUGUGUAAGUAACUGUGCACAUCUUGACGGUAACUAAUCAGAAAGCCACGGCUAACUACGUG